AUGGAUGUUUUCCAUGUUACAGAUCAAGAUGGAAAUAAGUUAACAGAUGAGAGUGUUUUGAACAUUCAUAAUGGAAAAACCAAUCAUAGAAAUGGUCUCAUUGCAUUGGAAUUAAAGGGGACGAAUCGUGUUGGUCUUAUUUCUGAAGUGUUUGCAGUAUUGGCUGAGUUUCAAUGUGAUGUGGUCGAGGCUAAAGUUUGGACACACAAUGGCUGGACUGCUUCUUUAAUUUAUGUUAAGGAUUGA